CCUACGGGAGGCAGCAGUGGGGGAUAUUGCACAAUGGGGGAAACCCUGAUGCAGCGACGCCGCGUGGGUGAAGAAGCGCCUCGGCGCGUAAAGCCCUGUCAGCAGGGAAGAAAAUGACGGUACCUGAAGAAGAAGCCCCGGCUAACUACGUGCCAGCAGCCGCGGUAAUACGGAGGGGGCAAGCGUUAUCCGGAUUUACUGGGUGUAAAGGGGGCGCAGACGGCGAUGCAAGCCAGGAGUGAAAGCCCGGGGCCCAACCCCGGGACUGCUGUUGGAACUGCGUGGCUAGAGUGCAGGAGGGGCAGGCGGAAUUCGUGGUGUAGCGGUGAAAUGCGUAGAUAUCAGGAGGAACACCGGUGGCGAAGGCGGCCUGCUGGACUGCAACUGACGUUGAGGCCCGAAAGCGUGGGGAGCAAACAGGAUUAGAUACCCUUGUAGUC
rnacentral:rRNA from 1 species